AAGGGAUGAAUCUGCCUAAAGGGAAAUUUUAAUUCAUUUCAACGUCAAAUAUAAACUGUAUAGGCUUUUGUGGGUUAGUAGUUGCUAUUUAAUAUAUUGUUUCUAUGGUAAAAUGUACUCCAGAUCAACCCAUUUUUUUCCCAUUAGAUUAUAGUUUCAUGAAGGCAGGAAACAGUUGUAUCUUCUCCAUGGUUGUAUGUUGAAAGCUUUGCACACUGCCUGGCACAGAGAAUAUGUACAACAAAAAUAUGGAAUAAUUCUCAGAAACUCACAUUUAAACAUGGGAUAAUGUGGAGGCAUCAGAGAAACAAAAACAGAAACGAAGAUAACCAUGAUACCUAAUGUUACAAGAAGAAAGCACUUGUAAUCACAAGGGUACUGAGAAAAGAAGUUAAAUGAAAAAUGGAUUGUGGAUUAUAGCCUGAGCAGAUUUGAGCCUAAAUGUAAUAUAACAGCUCGUGGCAAAUGGAGGUAGCAGGAGAGUAGAGCCAACUAGCCAAAAAUCCCCUGGAAAGGUGAAACUGAAAUCACUCAUUCAUUCAAAAAGUGUUUACUGAGUAGCUUCAAAGAGCAAAUAUUAGGUUAGAUGCAGUGGGUGAUGUAAGGAUGAUUCAGACAACUAUUUCUCAUGGACUUUGCUUACUGAGCCAUCAACACACGGCCACCUUUUUCUAGAUGAAGUAUCCCAUCAUUUGAUUCUGGAUUGAGAACUCUUUGAGAGCAGAGACCAUGGCUUCACCUGAGUAUCCCCAGAGCCUGACAUCAGACAAAAGAGUGAUAUACAAGUGAACAUCUAAUAUUGUACUUCAUUGUGGUGCUCAGUGAAGAUGCAGUUAGAGGAAAUUAAGGACACAAUGAAUUGGCAGAAACCGGAGAAUAAGUCUAUAGUCCCUUAUUUCAGUUACUUUAUUUAAAUAAAUCAACUUUCACUGAAGUUUUUUUUUUAAUAUGUAGAAGAAGCUCACAUAACUUCAGGAAAACCGCAUGAAAAGUACCCAAGAAAUUCAGUGUCCAGAUGUUUCAGAAUCCAGAUGGCCUAAGAAUCCUCUAUCACCCAGAAAGGAGGAAAAUGUGCAUGAAAGUGGAACAUUUAAAAGAAAAAAAUAAUUUAGCUUUGGCUAUGUAAUGACAACAUACAGAGCUUGAGAAAAAGCUUCUUUUCCUAAAGCAGCAACUUAAUAAAAGGCAUGUUAUAGGCUUUAUCAGUAAGCCAAAAUUUCAGCCUUGCCUCUUCUUCCCAUCACCAUUAAGAGGCUUGCAGAGGUCCACACUCCUUAAAGGGCAGACAGCAUGGAAGAACUAUCAUGUACAAUUUGAAGUAGCAGCUAAAAUUGGAAUGGUCACGAGAAAGCCUGUUUCUUUGCAAUUAAAUUGACAAGCUGUCUAUGAUUACCCUAGGGAACUUGGCAGCUGAGUGAUAAAAAGACUGCAGUGUGUUGAAAGGUCUAACGCAACUUACUAGGUAGACAAAGACCACAUCUGCUUAACAUACUGAUUGGGAGAGUUGUGGAAUGUACUUGGCUACAUUAGCUGAGGAGAGAUACUAAGGAUACUUUUUCCUCUCUAAGACCCUGUGCUUAGAACCUGUUGCAGAAACUACCCACAAAUAUUUGGAAGCAUGUAUGAAAAACAGUUUAGCACAAUAUCUGAUGUUAUUCAGCAUGAACCUACCAUUACAAAUCACCAGAAUUGAGCAGAAGUUUAGAAAGAAAUAAUAAUUAAAAAUGCCUUUAAUCUAAUUAUGUUUGUGAAAUUGUAUAUACUUGAUACAAAAAUUGGGUACUUGAGAAGAUUUAUUGUGAUAACAAUAAAUGAAAGAAAAUGCAUGAUUUAAUACAAAAUACUAGGCAAUAAUUACUUGGGAUAUUCAUCAGUGGAGAGUCCUUGAGUUGGGCAACACUGAAACUUAGGUUAUAAAGGAGAAAACAAUAACCAGCUUUGGGGUGGUAGCAAUUUGUGAAGACUAACACACCGAUUUCAGCAAUGUCUUCUUAAUUUUGUUAUAUUCCUUAAAAGGGCAAAUGCAUGUAAAAAGCAAAUGUUUCUUCUAACAGAUUUAAUAGAUACUAGUAGCACUCUACACUAAAUAAAUAGAGGAUGACCAUG